rnacentral:lncRNA from 10 species
AAGGCAAUCCCAGCCCAGACACGUGGGUUGGAGCAGCGUCGCGUUUCUGGGCAAUUGCUCCUGAGACCCAACAGGCAGCAACGGUCCCAAGGGUGAGGGAGUGGGCAGGGAGAGGCUGAUGGGGCUUCUACACGUUCCCUCCCGUAGCUGGGCUGCUGCAGCUCGUUCGCCCCAGAGGCGCGCGGUGUCCUUGAGUCCAAGUAUUCAGCGCGGACGUUUGGGGGACGGAGGGAGAGGCGCUAGGGGAACUGGCACCUAAGACUGUGUAAUAGGACACAGGUCUUGCAAGUCCUCCUCCCCAGGCACCGCCCCUGUGCUCCCAGCGCCUCUUUGCAGCUUUAAUUAUCCUUUCAGCGCCGUUCCCCCGCGGCUGCGUUUCCGUGGUCAGAGGAAAAAGGCUCUUUCGCCUCCCGGUUCUCACCCUCAUACAGACCCUCCUUUCAGACCCGCCCUCCUGUUCACAGGGACCCAUUUCGGAGCCCUGGCUCACGCUGGGCGGGAACUGCCGUGACGAAUUCCCCCCAAGGUGUUGAUUAUCCAUCCCAACCCAGCCUCUGGCUUCCCUCCCACCUCCACCCCAGCUCCCACAGGCCCCUCGCCCCGUUCAUCGGCUGGGCGCUCGAGACGGCGCCCCCAGAUCUCCCACCGGGCAGUGUCCCCAGCUGCAGCUGAGGAGAGAAGCGCCGGCGUGCGCGGUGCCACGUCGGAAUUGGCUCUGGGGACGCCGCAGCUGCCGAAGCGCAGCGCGCGGUCCCCACGCACGCCCUGCCUCCGGGCGGCCGGCGGGCUGGCCCGGCGAGGAGAGGAGGGAUGCGCGCCCUCCUCCCGCUCCUAUCUGCGGGUGCCACCGCCUGCGUCAGGGACCCCUGGCCCGAGCUUUCUGCCCCCGAUAACAGAAAAUCUCUUUUUCGUCUUAAAAAAAAAAAAAAAAAAAAAAAAAGCCUGUGGAAGACUCAGCAGAACCCAGGAAGCGCAGAAUUGGGAGAAAAGUCUUUGGCUGGGGCUGUUUCAAGUCUCUGGUUCAAUGGGCUGCUCGAAGCCAGGACUGGGUAAUUCUUUCCAGACGUCUUGACUUCUCCUUCCCCGCCGUUGUUGCCCUUCUGCCUCCUCCAACUUAAGGGGGUCUUAACAAGUGAGCUGGAUCUUCUGAGGGGUGGACUUCUUUGGAACUCGACAGGACCUUGAAGACUGGGUUCUUAGUCCUUAUCACAUAUAUGGGCUAUAAUGAAUAAGUCUAAACAGAAAAGUCGAAUAAACUGGAAAUGAUGCUUUCAUCACGUCGCACAAGGAAAACACAUUUGUUGUUUCUCGCCUCUUGUAAUUCAUGACCCAUAAGACAAAAGUAAAAUGUUCUCUGACUGCAAAUGGAGCUGUUUGGAUCAGAAGAUGACAUCCUUUCACCCAUCCCUUUCAGGUUUUGACAUCCUAAAAUGUACCUUAUGGAACCCAUACCUGUUAUGUUUUCACCUGUACAAGGCAACAGAGAAAACAUGGUAGUUUUUACUUGAGUAGAUGUGACUUAGCAAUAUGUUGUUGCUGACCUCCAUCCCACAGCACAAAACAUAUGUUUAUAUGUCUGACAGACAAAGUAUCCAGAACAAGGAUUUAGUACCUUCAUAAUCCUCUGUAUAUGUGGUUCUAGAACUUUUGGUAAAGAAACUCUUUAUACUCUUAUUAAUUAUUGAGAACCUCAAAAAAAGUUUAUAUGUUAUAUGUAUCAAUAUUUACCACAUUAGACAUUAAAGCUGACUUAAAAAGUUAAAAUACUUAAGUCAUUUGAAGUAAUAAUAAAUGCA